rnacentral:piRNA from 1 species
UAGCUGACUAAGGCUUUGCCUUCACCAUG